UACGUAGGGGCAAGCGUUGUCCGGAAUUAUUUGGGCGUAAAGAGCUCGUAGGCGGUCUGUCGCGUCGAUCGUGAAAACUUGGGGCUUAACCCUGAGCUUGCGGUCGAUACGGGCAUGACUGGAGUUCGGCAGGGGAGACUGGAAUUCCUGGUGUAGCGGUGAAAUGCGCAGAUAUCAGGAGGAACACCGGUGGCGAAGGCGGGUCUCUGGGCCGAUACUGACGUGAGGAGCGAAAAGCGUGGGGAGCGAACAGG
rnacentral:rRNA from 1 species